GUCACGGCCAUACGCUAGUCAAUCUAUACAGGGAAGAGCAAAGAACAUGAUUCAAAGGGGGAAAAUGAGAAGAGAGGGAGAAGAUAGAGGGUUCGAAGGGGAAGGGAAGGGUUUCAAUGUCUCUCUUUGGACACUUCGACGGUAUGGCAAGACUGGUUCCGUGAUAAUAACGAUCAACGGGGUUCUCACGAGCAGCAAGCUCAGCCAAGUCCACAAGAGAUUCCUACAAAUUCAUGGUAUCCUUCAUUUGUAGUUAGCUCUCCAAGUUCUUCCCGCCCAACAACUCCUAGUAGCACAUCUUCUAGUAGCUUCAGUGUACAAAGGCAUGUAGAUCGGCCAGAGUCACAAUCUCAUGUUUCGCCUGCAGUGGCUGUUGGCAUUAUUGUUCUGUUAAAGGAUAAGAAAUUUCAGUGGGUUCUCAUUUAUACCCUAAGAAUCCAGUCCUCCACCUUGGAAGUCAGCUCAACUUCAGUGUAGAAGGAUUAAAUGAUCAAGUGUUUGGCCGUUGGUUGAGUGCCAAUGAAAGUGUUAUAUAUGUGGACAUGAUAUCUGGAAGGUACUACUCGAGGUAUUGAGCAGAAUAUUUUUCCCUUUGCUGUUCUAGAUGUUAACAAACGUUCCUAUCCCAGCAAAAGGAUAUAGCUUCCCUGUGAGGUUCAGUGAUGAUCAUUACUACAAGUCUAAAGCUCCUCGGAACAAUGUGCAAGUCCUGUAUGACUGUAGAGUGGACCUACCUUUUGUCGGGAUUGUAGAUAUGCAAAGCCACAGAAGGAUCUCUCUGGAAAUUCAUAUUGCCUCUUCUUUCCUUCCUCUCCGGAGCAUUAAAUACAUUCUAUUUCUAAGUCAAAAGACAUGAGAUUUGAGAUUUGAUAUGGACAUGUUUGGUAAUUUGGAGAGUAAAAGCUAGCUCGUUUUG